UACAGAGGUGCCGAGCGUUAGGCGGAAUCACUGGGCUUAAAGCGUGUGUAGGCGGACUUCUAAGUACCUUGUGAAAUCCCACGGCUCAACCGUGGAACUGCUGGGUAUACUGGUUGUCUUGAGCCAGCUAGGGGCGAGCGGAACAGACGGUGGAGCGGUGAAAUGCGUAGAUAUCGUCUGGAACGCCGAAGGUGAAAACAGCUCGCUGGGGCUGCGCUGACGCUGAGACACGAAAGCCAGGGGAGCGAACGGG
rnacentral:rRNA from 1 species